rnacentral:rRNA from 1 species
UGCAAGUCGAGCGCGGGAAGCGGACAGAACUCUUCGAGAGGGACGUUCGUGGAACGAGCGGCGGACGGGUGAGUAACACGUAGGCAACCUGCCUGUAAGACUGGGAUAACUCGCGGAAACGCGAGCUAAUACCGGAUAAUACUUAUCAUCUCCUGAUGGUAAGUUGAAAGGCGGCUUUUGCUGUCACUUACAGAUGGGCCUGCGGCGCAUUAGCUAGUUGGUGGGGUAAUGGCUCACCAAGGCGACGAUGCGUAGCCGACCUGAGAGGGUGAUCGGCCACACUGGGACUGAGACACGGCCCAGACUCCUACGGGAGGCAGCAGUAGGGAAUCUUCCGCAAUGGACGAAAGUCUGACGGAGCAACGCCGCGUGAGUGAUGAAGGUUUUCGGAUCGUAAAACUCUGUUGUCGGGGAAGAACAAGUAUGAUAGUAACUGAUCGUACCUUGACGGUACCCGACCAGAAAGCCACGGCUAACUACGUGCCAGCAGCCGCGGUAAUACGUAGGUGGCAAGCGUUGUCCGGAAUUAUUGGGCGUAAAGCGCUCGCAGGCGGUUCUUUAAGUCUGAUGUGAAAUCUUGCGGCUCAACCGUAAACGUGCAUUGGAAACUGGAGGACUUGAGUGCAGAAGAGGAGAGUGGAAUUCCACGUGUAGCGGUGAAAUGCGUAGAGAUGUGGAGGAACACCAGUGGCGAAGGCGACUCUCUGGUCUGUAACUGACGCUGAGGAGCGAAAGCGUGGGGAGCGAACAGGAUUAGAUACCCUGGUAGUCCACGCCGUAAACGAUGAGUGCUAGGUGUUAGGGGGUUUCCGCCCCUUAGUGCUGAAGUUAACGCAUUAAGCACUCCGCCUGGGGAGUACGGCCGCAAGGCUGAAACUCAAAAGAAUUGACGGGGACCCGCACAAGCGGUGGAGCAUGUGGUUUAAUUCGAAGCAACGCGAAGAACCUUACCAGGUCUUGACAUCCUUUGACCGCUCUGGAGACAGAGUUUUCCCUUCGGGGACAAAGUGACAGGUGGUGCAUGGUUGUCGUCAGCUCGUGUCGUGGAGAUGUUGGGGUUAAGUCCCGCAACGAGCGCAACCCUUUGAUCUUAGUUGCCAGCAUUUAGUUGGGCACUCUAA